rnacentral:rRNA from 1 species
CACGUAGGGGACGAGCGUUGUCCGGAUUCAUUGGGCGUAAAGAGCUCGUAGGCGGUCUGUCGCGUCUGCUGUGAAAUCCCGGGGCUCAACUCCGGGCUUGCAGUGGAUACGGGCAGACUAGAGUUCGGUAGGGGAGACUGGAAUUCCUGGUGUAGCGGUGAAAUGCGCAGAUAUCAGGAGGAACACCGGUGGCGAAGGCGGGUCUCUGGGCCGAUACUGACGCUGAGGAGCGAAAGCGUGGGGAGCGAACAGG